AGACCCGAAACCCGGUGAUCUAGCCAUGGGCAGGUUGAAGGUUGGGUAACACUAACUGGAGGACCGAACCGACUAAUGUUGAAAAAUUAGCGGAUGACCUGUGGCUGGGGGUGAAAGGCCAAUCAAACCGGGAGAUAGCUGGUUCUCCCCGAAAGCUAUUUAGGUAGCGCCUCGUGAAUUCAUCUCCGGGGGUAGAGCACUGUUUCGGCUAGGGGGCCAUCCCGGCUUACCAACCCGAUGCAAACUGCGAAUACCGGAGAAUGUUAUCACGGGAGACACACGGCGGGUGCUAACGUCCGUCGUGAAGAGGGAAACAACCCAGACCGCCAGCUAAGGUCCCAAAGUCAUGGUUAAGUGGGAAACGAUGUGGGAAGGCCCAGACAGCCAGGAUGUUGGCUUAGAAGCAGCCAUCAUUUAAAGAAAGCGUAAUAGCUCACUGGUCGAGUCGGCCUGCGCGGAAGAUGUAACGGGGCUAAACCAUGCACCGAAGCUGCGGCAGCGAACGUAUCACCCAAGACAACUUUGCACAGUUGACGAUUGGCGGAGCGAAGCGACGUCAAAGCGUUUUACAACGUCGAGUUGGCUUAGGGAUACGUUCGUUGGGUAGGGGAGCGUUCUGUAAGCCUGUGAAGGUGGCCUGUGAGGGUUGCUGGAGGUAUCAGAAGUGCGAAUGCUGACAUAAGUAACGAUAAAGCGGGUGAAAAGCCCGCUCGCCGGAAGACCAAGGGUUCCUGUCCAACGUUAAUCGGGGCAGGGUGAGUCGACCCCUAAGGCGAGGCCGAAAGGCGUAGUCGAUGGGAAACGGGUUAAUAUUCCCGUACUUGGUGUUACUGCGAAGGGGGGACGGAGAAGGCUAUGUUGGCCGGGCGACGGUUGUCCCGGUUUAAGCGUGUAGGUGUGUGUUCCAGGUAAAUCCGGUUCACUUUAACACUGAGGCGUGA
rnacentral:rRNA from 1 species